UGCGUUUGUUUCAAAUCUUAAUAACGCGAUAGUCCUAAGAUACUUUUUGACUAGGAAAACAUGGCUCGCAAAAGACUCGCAAAGUACGCAGUUGUGAUGCUUGAGAGUUUAGCAGGGACCGGCCAUAGAAGGGUGAUUAUAAGAAUGAAGGAUGCUCAAAAAACGGAACAAAUCAUGAAAGACCCACUUGUUGGACAAGAUGUGUUGUACAAAGAGAUAAAGAGAAUCCGGAGUAUUAAAGUACCACGGAGAACUUGAAAGAUGCUGUAAAGAUAAUAUGGAGGAAAAAGCAGAACUUUUUAGCAGAAAGUGGAUGACUGGAAAAUGGAAAGUGCUGUGUGAAAAUCAAAGAUAAAAUGUUGCAUCUUUGCCAUAUAGAUUGAUACAGAAAUCUGGAACUGUAUAUGUUUGGCCAAUUAAAAUAUGUGUCUAUGUCCGAACUCCCUACCCUGACCAUUCAGCGGUAGGAUGAUACAAAAUCAUAUCUUUCAAAUAUGUGGGAUCAUGUACGUGUAUAGUUUUCUUGAUGUUCCAAUUGUGAAUGGCCUCCAUACUUACUGUGCCGACAUUACUGACCAAGGAUUUCCUGUAAGUUUAAUGACGGGACUAGUUUUUCACGUACUUUUAUUUGGCAAGAGAAUUGUAAAUGUUCUAUUUCACAUGUUGCGACAUACUUACAAACUUUUAAAAAAAUCCAUGGAAGAGAUUAUGUGUGCUCAGAGUUAAAAACAAUUAAAAAGUGUGUAUGUACUAAUUCACCCUAGAGGGAAUACACUUGUAAGUUUCAUCAUUUGAGCUGUUCUUUCAGAUGAAAUAAUCAGAUCUAAGAAAAUAGGACUAAACUUUUAGUUUAGCAAAUUCACUGGUGGAAAAUGCUUAAUUUUAGGGUCCAAAAUCAGGAGUCACGUUCAAAAAUGAGGAGAGUUGGCAAGUAUGUUGCCAUGGAAAUAUGUUAUUUAUAUUUAUUGUUGCCGUGUAAAUGUGCUAGACCAUCUGCCUCACAGAUAUAGGUAUAUUGUAGGUUGGCUGUGUGUGUUAUUAGAAACAAAUAAAAAAAA